AUCAAUAAGCGGAGGAAAAGAAACCAACAGGGAUUGCUUCUGUAACGGCGAGUGAAGCGGCAAAAGCUCAAAUUUGAAAUCCCCCCGGGGAGUUGUAAUUUGAAGAUUGCGUCUUGGAGGCGACCGUGUCUAUGUUCCUUGGAACAGGACGUCACAGAGGGUGAGAAUCCCGUGCGGCACGGCCCCCGGCUCCUUAUAAGGCGCUCUCGACGAGUCGAGUUGUUUGGGAAUGCAGCUCAAAGUGGGUGGUAAAUUCCAUCUAAAGCUAAAUACAGGCGAGAGACCGAUAGCGAACAAGUACAGUGAUGGAAAGAUGAAAAGCACUUUGAAAAGAGAGUGAAACAGCACGUGAAAUUGUUGAAAGGGAAGGGCAUGCCGUCAGAUUGUCAGUGUGGGUAAGAAGCGGGGUACAAAGACUGUGGAACGUGGCCCUCGGGUGUUAUAGCCGCAGUUCAUGCCCCGUUACUUGCAAUUCGAAAUAAAAACAUCAGACCACCACAAAGAAA
rnacentral:rRNA from 1 species